rnacentral:lncRNA from 1 species
AAGAAUCUGCCCCCAAUGCAGGAAACUCAGGUUCGAUCCCUGGGUUGGGAAGAUCCCCUGGAGAAGAAAACAGCAACCCACUUCAAAAUUCUUGCCUGAGAAAUCCCAUGGACAGAGGACUUCAGUACCUGGGGUUGCAAAGAGUUGGACAGGGCUUAGUGACGAAACAACAACAGCAUCCUUUGAGGUGGACGUUGCAAAAUACUUUGUGGCACAAUUGAUUCCUCUUCACCGCAUUAAGUGG